rnacentral:lncRNA from 7 species
AUCUUCUAUUCUUUUACAUCUUCCUUACCGAGAACCUUUAAGUACUGCAAAAUGAGGCUGUUUUCUACUUAGAACCAUAGCCUCGUUUGAGUUGGAAGGGACCCUUAAAGCCACCUAGUCCAACUCCCUUGCAAUUAACAAGGACACAUUACAGCUCGAUCUGAGUGCUCAGAGCCACGUCCAGGGGGACUGGGCUGCUGCCUGGUAGUCAGGUGAUGGUGAGAGUUCCUGACUGUUGGCAAGACGUUGAUGAAGUUAGUAUUUAUUAUUACCUCGGGAGCUCCAGGAGAAAUCCCGCAGAAGCGAGGAGCCAGCCAACGAGGUCCUGCACUUCUUCCCAGGUUUCCUCAUUCUGCGCCUUGGCCUUAUCUCUCAUAAUGUGGCAGCUCCAUGAAGGGGUUAACCAUGCAACUGUUCAGGAGCAGGAAGGAAGCAGGUAGAGAUCCCAUUUCCCAUCUCUGGGCGCUGCCAGGCAUGGUCACAGGGAGGAGAAGGAUGUCCCUCGGCGGUGGAAGCAGCAGGAUGGAGCUCUGUUGGGGCAGAGUGAGAUGCCAAGGAGAAACACUGCUUGCUCAUAAUCUUCCUAAUGAGCAAUGCUUCAUGUACAAUGCUCAUAAUGCUGUCAAGAACUCUGUGGGACUUGUUCUGUUUUGGUGGUUUAUGGACAGCAGAGUUGAAAAGGAAACAAGUGCCAGCAGGCAGUGUUGUUUUCCAAACAGUCCAAGUGUGAAGUAUGUGAGCUCCAUAUAUCAUUCCAGCUGAGUCUUUGUGGAGGCUGACCUCAUGUUUCACCAUUUUUUUCACUUUUUAGUUUACAGUUUUCCAUGACUACACAUUGCCUGCUGGAACAAGCAUUUCUAAAUCGGAAUAUCUAAACAUGCACAAAUGAUGAAUUGCUCUAUUUGUUCAAGAGACAUUUUUGGAGGGAUAUUUUAAUUGCAACUAAUAAGAGGGGAAAAAAAGGCUAAGCAUUUGUUGCAGGCAUUCUUUUUAAGCAAAAACUGUGUUGGGAUCAUUAGUGAAGGCAAUAGAUGCAAAAAUAACUCAGUAAACAACAGUAUUAUGAAUUUAUCCUUUGUGCCAGAGGAUGCUAAUUU